rnacentral:piRNA from 1 species
UGAGACAUAAGGAUUGCCACAAGUUUC